CCUACGGGUGGCUGCAGUGGGGAAUAUUGGACAAUGGGCGAAAGCCUGAUCCAGCCAUGCCGCGUGUGUGAAGAAGGCCUUCGGGUUGUAAAGCACUUUCAGUGGGGAAGAAAGCCUUGGGGCUAAUACCCUCGAGGAAGGACAUCACCCACAGAAGAAGCACCGGCUAACUCCGUGCCAGCAGCCGCGGUAAUACGGAGGGUGCGAGCGUUAAUCGGAAUUACUGGGCGUAAAGCGCGCGUAGGCGGUCUGAUAAGCCGGUUGUGAAAGCCCCGGGCUCAACCUGGGAACGGCAUCCGGAACUGUCAGGCUAGAGUGCAGGAGAGGAAGGUAGAAUUCCCGGUGUAGCGGUGAAAUGCGUAGAGAUCGGGAGGAAUACCUGUGGCGAAGGCGGCCUUCUGGACUGACACUGACGCUGAGGUGCGAAAGCGUGGGUAGCAAACAGGAUUAGAUACCCCAGUAGUC
rnacentral:rRNA from 1 species